rnacentral:rRNA from 1 species
UACAGAGGGGGCGAGCGUUAUUCGGAAUUAUUGGGCGUAAAGUGCGCGUAGGCGGCCGUGUAAGUCUUGGGUGAAAUCCCUCAGCUCAACUGAGGAACUGCCUCGGAUACUGCAUGGCUUGAGGCCGGGAGAGGGUAGUGGAAUUCCCAGUGUAGCGGUGAAAUGCGUAGAUAUUGGGAGGAACACCGGUGGCGAAGGCGGCUACCUGGACCGGUUCUGACGCUGAUGCGCGAAAGCGUGGGGAGCAAACAGG